rnacentral:rRNA from 1 species
UUCUUUUAGUUUAUAUUAAAGGUAUUUUCUGCCCAAUGAUUAUUUAAAUGGCUGCAGUAUAUUGACUGUACAAAGGUAGCAUAAUAAUUAGUCUUUUAAUUGAGGACUAGAAUGAAAGGAUAUAUGAAAAAUUAAUUUUAUUUAUUUUAUUAUUAAAAUUUUAUUUUUUGGUAAAAAAGCCAAAUUAAUUUUUAGGGACGAGAAGACCCUAUAGAACUUUAAAUUAGUUUUAAUUAAUUUUUUUUAGUAAAUUAAAAUUUUUAAUUAUUUUUAAUUUUUAAUUGGGGUGAUUAAUAAAUUUAAUAGGCUUUAUUUAUUUACUUCAUUAAUUAAUGUUUAAAUGAUCCUAAUUAAGGAUAAUAAGAUAAGUUACCUUAGGGAUAACAGCGUAAUUUUAAUUGAAAGUUCUUAUUAAGAUUAAAGUUUGCGACCUCGAUGUUGAAUUAAGAUAAAUUAUAGGUGCAGAAGCUUAAGAAUUAAGUCUGUUCGACUUUUAAAAUCUUACA